UGUAUAGUUGAAGUCCACAAAAUGGG
rnacentral:piRNA from 1 species